GUCCACGCCGUAAACGAUGCGCACUAGGUAUGAGAGGUCUGACGCCGCUCGUGCCGAAGCAAAAGUGUUAAGUGCGCCGCCUGGGGAGUACGGCCGCAAGGCUAAAACUCAAAGGAAUUGACGGGGGCUCACACAAGCGGUGGAGCAUGUGGAUUAAUUCGAAGCAACGCGAAGAACCUUACCUGGGUUUGACAUGUACGGAUGCCGUCCAUGAAAGUGGAGCCGGUUGCCUUCGGGUGAAACGUGCACAGGUGCUGCAUGGCUGUCGU
rnacentral:rRNA from 1 species